UUCUCUCUCUCUCGACCUUCUCUCUCUCAACCUCUCUCUAUGUGCAAACGAAAUUCUCUCCCUCUCUGUGGCUUCAUGAUGCAAAUGGAUAGAUUGUGCUUCAUACAAUAUCCAAACUUUCAAAAUUCGCCAUACCCAUCGAUUCAUUUCUUUCCCCAGAUGAGAAAAGCCCUAAUUUUGAUUUCCUAGAAAAAAAAAAUCAGCAGAUGGGUGCGAGCGAGAAGUUUGAUGGAAUCCUCCCCAUCCAGAAAUCCGAUGUCUAAGUUUAUUACUGGUGAAAGUAAAUUUGAACCGAAUCUGAUGUGUCUCAUGUUUGAUGCGUCUCCAAAAUUCGAUGUCUAAUUACUGGUGGAAGUCCCUUUCUUGGCUUUGUUUGUUUGUAUGCCUUUGACCUGGUUUCUACUCAUGUUAUUGCAUUUUACAGGAAUAUAAUUUUGAUCUUCGUGGGAAAAAAAUGGAGCUUUGUGAAUGUUCAAGAGCUGCAGAGUUUCCAGAAGAGCUUUGUGAAUGUUCAAGACAUUUUGGAUCAUAACCGGCUGUUGAUCGACGAGAUCAAUCAGAACCAUGAUUCCAAUCAACCUGAAAACUUGCAAUCUAAAGGCAAGUUUAUUACACUGAAAACACCAUUCUUCUGGUCUGCAAAGAUACCAAAUCGUAAAACUCCAGUUCGGUCCUGUUUUAGUUUCCUUGUGCACUCACUUGUGCCUUUGUACUCUCAUAUGUAAGUGAAUUUUUGUUUUUCUCAUUGCAAGACACCCUUGAGACUUUGUCCAUAUCAGUGAUAUUAAGAAGAAGCUGUUCAAGGAUUUAGAUGGCAUAGCCAAGAGUUCUGCGAUUCUAGCUUCUAACACAAGUUCCAUCUCCAUCACUCGUCUUGCUUCUGCAACACAAAGACCUUGCCAGGUAAGAAGGAAGUUGUGUCUACAGAUAAAGCACCACCUGCUGUAGGACCACACUCUCAGGCCAUCAAAGCCAACGGUUUCGUUUUCGUUUCAGGUGUUCUUGGACUUGUGCCUGAGGUUGUGCUUCACUGAACCUGUCUUGCUAUGAACCUGUCUUGCUGCCUCUAGCUAUUCUCUUGAUGGUCUGAUUAAUCUUAGGUGUCAAGAGGCGCUUCGUAUGAGAGUUUAAAUUUUGAUGUCUAUUGUCCUAUAGUGUUUAUUAAUUUCAAGUUGCCAUUGUUGGCAAACUUGGAGUUAAUCCUUUAGUGUCUUUGGUUUUGUUUUUUUAACUUUUUGCGGUUCUUGAAAGCCUUGAUUAGUUUCAAAAAAAACUUUUUGCUG